rnacentral:rRNA from 1 species
UUUAAUGAGAGUUUGAUCCUGGCUCAGGACGAACGCUGGCGGCGUGCCUAAUACAUGCAAGUAGAACGCUGAGGUUUGGUGUUUCCACUAGACUGAUGAGUUGCGAACGGGUGAGUAACGCGUAGGUAACCUGCCUCAUAGCGGGGGAUAACUAUUGGAAACGAUAGCUAAUACCGCAUAAGAGUAAUUAACACAUGU